GCUGGGCGUGGUGGCUCACACCUGUAAUCCCAGCACUUUGGGAGGCUGAGGCAGGCGGAUCACCUGAGGUCAGGAGUUCGAGACCAGCCUGACCAACAUGGUGAAACCCUGUCUCUA
rnacentral:SRP_RNA from 2 species